UACGAAGGGUGCAAGCGUUACUCGGAAUUACUGGGCGUAAAGCGUGCGUAGGUGGUGCGUUAAGUCUGUCGUGAAAGCCCCGGGCUUAACCCGGGAAUGGCGUUGAAAACUGCUUGAACUGGAGGGUCGGAGGGGGGACUGGAAUUCUUGGUGUAGCAGUGAAAUGCGUAGAUAUCAAGAGGAACACCAGUGGCGAAGGCGAGUCCCUGGACGAUACCUGACACUGAGGCACGAAAGCCAAGGGAGCAAACAGG
rnacentral:rRNA from 1 species